AGAGUUUGAUCAUGGCUCAGGAUGAACGCUGGCGGCGUGCCUAACACAUGCAAGUCGAACGGAUAUAUGUAAGCGGGCUUGCCUGCGAGCAUAUGUUAGUGGCGGACGGGUGAGUAACGCGUGGGCAACCUGCCCCAUACCGGGGGAUACCACCUGGAAACAGGUGCUAAUACCGCAUAAGCGCACACUGCCGCAUGGCAGAGUGUGAAAAACUCCGGUGGUAUGGGAUGGGCCCGCGUCUGAUUAGCCAGUUGGCGGGGUAGCGGCCCACCAAAGCGACGAUCAGUAGCCGGCCUGAGAGGGCGGACGGCCACAUUGGGACUGAGUCACGGCCCAAACUCCUACGGGAGGCAGCAGUGGGGAAUAUUGCACAAUGGGGGGAACCCUGAUGCAGCGACGCCGCGUGAGUGAAGAAGUAUUUCGGUAUGUAAAGCUCUAUCAGCAGGGAAGAAAGAGACGGUACCUGACUAAGAAGCCCCGGCUAACUACGUGCCAGCAGCCGCGGUAAUACGUAGGGGGCAAGCGUUAUCCGGAUUUACUGGGUGUAAAGGGAGCGUAGACGGUAAAGCAAGUCUGAAGUGAAAACCCAGGGCCCAACCGUGGGAUUGCUUUGGAAACUGUUGUACUGGAGUACGGGAGGGGCAGGCGGAAUUCCUAGUGUAGCGGUGAAAUGCGUAGAUAUUAGGAGGAACACCGGCGGCGAAGGCGGCCUGCUGGACCGUAACUGACGUUGAGGCUCGAAGGCGUGGGGAGCAAACAGGAUUAGAUACCCUGGUAGUCCACGCAGUAAACGAUGAUUA
rnacentral:rRNA from 1 species